CUUGAAUCUGCUUUGAGUAUUGUAUAAUAAAGGUAAAAUAAGAAGACCGACAGACUUUGAGGUACUACAGAUAUCAAGAAACAGUUUAUGUUUAUGUUGAUAUGAAGAAGUGUAUAUCUGAGCAAAGGAGUGCCCCCUUCCCUUCUCCGAUGGUAGGACCAAGAAUAUGGUCCUGGAAUGACCAGAAGCGGACCAAGAAUAUGGUUCUAGAAUGACCAGAAGAGGAUAAACAGGCAACCCCUUAAGAAGCAGGACAUGGAAUAUUUUGUCAUUUUCAUUCUGAGGAACAGACUGGUUGGGUGCACUAGGCAGCUGAUAUGAUGGGAAAUCCUGCUGUCCAUGAAAGAAAGUUAAUGGAUUUUUAUAAUGGUGCCAAUCAUAUGGUAGAAAUUAUCCUUUCAAUAUUAGAGAAUUUGAUUAAAGGAAUUACGUGAAUUAGAAAUUUUGAAGAAUUUCAUUGAAAAGCAUUUUAAAGAUUAUAAAAACAUUCUCCUAUGGAUUGAAAAGUUUGAUCCAUUUUGGAAUUCAUUUUGAUGUAGCCAAAUGUGAGGUUAUACACAUCUACAAGCAAGGACUGGAUGUUCUAUGUCAUGGAUCUCCCAAAACCCCUGGCACCAUUGGUUGACGGUCCAAAGUAUUUGACUUGCUAAAGAAUCUUUCCCUCCUAGAAGUAUAAAAUUCUACUUUAUUUUCCCUAUAAAAACAAACAAAAUAACUAUAUAUAUAUGCUGAUAUUGAACCAGAAUUACAAAUAAUUUGUAAUGUCAGAU
rnacentral:lncRNA from 1 species